rnacentral:rRNA from 1 species
AUGAUCGAUGUAUUCCCCGCUUCGGACACUUAUUGCAUCUGUGACCGCACUAAGGGUAUGGCGGCCCAGCAGGCGCCUCCUCCUCCCCCUGCUCCUAAGCCAUCCAACCCGGAUCCUUCUGACAGUGGGGGCGAGACGGGCACAGGCAGCAAUGCCAAUCCUUUCACCUCGUCGGAAUGGGAAGCUAUGGGAUCUGAAACUCGUGGUCUGUUUGACUUUGGUCCCUCUUGCAAUGGUGGUGGGGGCGCUCCCAAGGAGGGUGCUCGCAAUGUGGAGGCCAUGGAUGUCGAGGCCCUUAGAGGGGCUACGCCCCUCUCCGGGGCGUGCUCCACCAUCAUUGAGGCUGUUGCUCGACCUGCCUCCCCAUCUCUGUCUAGAAUUGUGGAUGUGCCUCCGAAAGUUUCGGUCCCUCCUUCUAGCCCAUGCAGCAAGAAGCAGAAUAAGAAAUCAUCAGUGCGUAAGUUCUCGGCCAAGAGCGGGGCAUCUCCGGGGAGUAUGCGAUAG